GAUGAACGCUAGCGGCAGGCUUAAUACAUGCAAGUCGUGGGGUAGCAUGAGUAGCAAUACUUGAUGGCGACCGGCAAACGGGUGCGGAACACGUACACAACCUUCCGAUAAGUGGGGAAUAGCCCAGAGAAAUUUGGAUUAAUACCCCGUAACAUAUAGAGUAGGCAUCUUCUUUAUAUUAUAGCUUCGGCGCUUAUUGAUGGGUGUGCGUCUGAUUAGGUAGUUGGCGGGGUAACGGCCCACCAAGCCUACGAUCAGUAGCUGAUGUGAGGGCCUGAUCAGCCACACGGGCACUGAGACACGGGCCCGACUCCUACGGGAGGCAGCAGUAAGGAAUAUUGGACAAUGGGCGAAAGCCUGAUCCAGCCACGCCGCGUGAAGGAUUAAGGUCCUCUGGAUUGUAAACUUCUUUUAUUUGGGACGAAAAAAGGGAAUUCUUUCCCACUUGACGGUACCAAGUGAAUAAGCACCGGCUAACUCCGUGCCAGCCGCCGCAGUAAUAC
rnacentral:rRNA from 1 species